AGACACAUUAGUUAGUACAAUCGAACAGUGUAUCAGCACUAUGUUUUGUUACAUUGGUUGCGUGCAUUCUUUAUAUUAACGUUACAUUAUUAUACAGUUCUACAAUUGUAUGUGCAUGGUCAUUGCUUUCUGUGGGCCGCUAGCUAGCUUAGUCCGUGCCCCAUUAAACUUGUAGUUUGUCUGUUGCUGGCCCCUUAUCUCGUAUGUCUUUCCGUACAUAUAAGGUCUCUAAAGACUGCGGUAGCAUCAUCUUUAUGUGCC